rnacentral:lncRNA from 1 species
UCUAUAGAGUGACUUCAGGGUCACUUCCGGGUCUAUAGCGUGACUUCAGGGUCACUUCCGGGUCUAUGGGGGUGGGUUCAGCGUCACUUCCGGGUCUAUGGGGGUCACUUCCGGGUCUAUGGGGGUGGGUUCAGGGUCACUUCCGGGUCUAUGGGGUCACUUCCGGGUCUAUGGGGUGGGUUCAGUGUCACUUCCGGGUCUAUGGGGUUAGUUC